GGAAGGCCUGAAAGGCUCAUGGCCACCACAGUGGCUGGGUCCUGUGUAGGAUGAAGAGCCCAGGGAGGAAGGCUCUGAACCAGCCGAGUCCCUCAGCCUGCGAUGGAGGUGGCACCCUCGGAGAGAGACUAGGAGCUGCUCAUGAAGGAGCUGGACUUGCUAGGGAACAGGAAGUAAAUGGAGUGUCUUGUGGAGAUGCCUUGUAGGGAGAGCUGACUGCCAGCCAAAAACCCAUUCAGCUACAAAAGCAGCUGUUUCAGCCCAAAGAAUUUUUUGGUUGCAGCUGGCUAUGCUGUGCCCUGCAUCAGCCUCCAGAGAGCCUGUGUCACAGGAGAGGAAACCUUUCAGCUGGAGAAGUCAGCCACUGUUCAAGCUUGACCCAGAUUCUGAGACCUUGGUCUCCUUCCUGUGCCACCUCUUGUCUGAGCUGAGGCCUCCUCCCACAUGGAGAAAGGAGCUCCAAAAAUCAAUGGUCAAUCUGUUCUUCUUCAACCCUUGUCGAUCCUUGCUAAGAGAGGGUGUGAGACAUCCCCCCCUACAAGUCAUGACUUAGGUGAACCACAGGAUCAUCUUUUCAUGAUGGCUUUAAAAAAGGAAGGCUUUACCUUCCUUUGCUUCAGCCUUUCAGUGAUCCUUUCAGAUCCCACAUGUGUUUGUGACCAUUCCUGAGCCCAAAGCUGGAAUUUCUAAAGUGCUACCAGCAGCAGCCCCAAGCAAAAUAAUGGAUGACUAAGAGCAGAAGGAAGCACUAUGUGCUCACAGAGUGGAGAACUGCAUGUGCAGGAAUCCCAACAAACUUGCCACUGGCAAGAACAUUUAUUAGUGAGGCACUGCCAAAUCCCCCAAGCUGUCCAUGCACAAAGGGGUUGGGUGAUCCCUCGUGCAGCCCCCACAGCUGCAGCAGGGCUUGGCACAGCGUUUCUGCUGAAGAUGUGAGGGUUUGGUCCUGCAGGAGCAGCUGCAUGGGUUUUGCAAUGCAGGCACUCAGACAGCUGCAGACUCCAAACUGUGAAUCCCUACUACCAGACUCUGAGCUCCUGAAGCUGAUUUUACCACUUCAAUAAUAAGGGAAAAUUAUGUGGAUUGGUAGCAGAAGAGUUAUAUGGUGAAGGCCACCAGGCCCUCCAGGAAGAGCAAGAGAGGCUGAGAAGGCAUUUUUCUGAUCAAAAUGUCUUCAGCUGCUCUACAGGGGCAGGAGCUGUAAGAUUUAUUUAUCAGAUACCCAUCCUCAAACCUAAGAGCAUUUAUUUUUCCCAGUAAAUUUGUGUUAAACCAGUGUUGGAUCACAGAGGGUUGUGAUAAGAGCUGGGCUGCACUUUUUGGGUGGCACAGCUUUUCCUCCUAUCUGAAAUCUCCUCUCUCUGGGUUUCUGCUGACCAACUGAUCCCUCCACAGAUACCUGAGCAUCCAACAAACUAUUUCUGCAGGGACUUCUCUGCUUCCAACAGAUCUUGGGCUCUCACCUGUGCCUGUCCCGGCCAUCCUUCUGCAGGGGGCACCUGCACAUGCCUGGCUGGAAGAUGACAGUGUGAGAGUGUUUUUGGAGGUCCUGGUGCAGUCAGAUGGGUGCAAUCUUCCAGCCCUGACAACAUUUACAACUUGCAAUGUCAGUGCUGAGAUAUUUACACAACCAUGGGAGGGAUCCCUCAACCCUCUACACGUGCUCCUUUCCAGCACAGCUGUUUUCAGGAAUCUCCAGGUUUCAAUCCACUGGCUAUUUCAACAAAGUCCAAAUUUAUUUAUUUUCUUUUCAUAGCUCCCAGCAGCCAAGCUGUGACAGCCAAGGGAAUCCUGCUCAGUCUUUCAGCAUUAAUGUCUCAAUUAUCAAGCACUGCCUUCUUCCACAUGGGGAUUGAAUGUGUGUGUGUUGGAACUCCUUGAAGUAUUUUCUAGAGCUGAAGUGUAAGCAGGGACUCAGUUUGGAGUGGCAUUGGAGAUGCUCAAAAAAGUGCUAUGAGGUAAAGUCCAGCCUCAUUCAAUGCCACUUAAUGUCUGUCACCUUGUUUAGAAUGGGACAGCAGAGCUGAGUUUUUCCUUUAAUGCUAAUGGCCCAGCUGUAUCUCACAUUGGUGCUUUUAUCCCAGGAAUUGCAUGGAUCCUGCAGCUGGCUCAUGUCCUGAGUGCCCAUCCUACUCCUCAUGCUCUGCUGUUGGCUCAGGGAAUUCAGGAGAGCUGAUGCUGAUGCAAGGCAGCAGGACAGCGUUUGUGGAACCUCCUGUCACUGCCCCCCAGGAUGAGAAGCAGCCUUCCAAGAGAGACAGGGUGGCUGCACUGGCCCCAAAAAGGUGCAGGAAGCACAUCAACAGUUGUUUGCAUUCGUGGUUUCAGUGGGGACAGGAUUUCUUAAUUAGCAAGACCUUCUGAAAAUAUCCUGGUACAGAACCACGGCUAAAAUCAACCAGCAGACAAAGCCAAGUGGAUUUCUGCACAUCUAAAGGCAGGAAAAGAAAUAGCACGAGAUCCUCGCAGUGCUGCAGAGGAGGAUUUUGUGGCUGCUGAGCAAAACCUGUGUGCAGCAUCUCUGCAUCCCGGGAAAGGUGGGAUGACCCAGUGGCUGGAGCAGAAAGAACAUCUUGGAUUACGUUGCUGCAAAUGAGAGAUUUCAGCAGUGGUAUCAGAUGAGCUGCAGCUUGUGGCUGUUCAAGCUCAGCAGUGCUAAAACGUGACAUGGGCUCGCAGAGGACACGUGCAGCCCGUGGAGUGAACUGCAACCUGAACAGCUCUCCCAGCAGCGGGGGCUCUGUGUCCUUCUAGCAAUAAAUUCCUCCUGGACAGUGUUUCGGGGGAUUGCUAGGAUUUGAGGAGAGAGGAGGCUGGCUGGAAGUGAGACAGGCUCCAGGUUUAUCCUUGAAAGCUCCUGCACUGCAGAGCCUGGGGCUGCCUUUGGCAGCCUGCCUGGAGGAAGAUGUCAGUGGAGGCUGAAGGCUGCCUCGUGCUGUAUGAACCCACCAAUCCCCUCCUCGGCCAGCUAAGUUGGAGAUAAAUCUCCCUAUUAGCAAUGCAUAAAGCAGGCCAAAAUUUGAACAGCUUCUUAAGCAGGAGGUGAAUCAAAAGCUCAAAAUUACUUAGAAUAAGUCCUUUCUGUGCUCCGGGCUAGAAAGUGGUUGUUUUGGAGCUUUCCCAUAGUGUGCCUGGCCUGCCCGCCGGGAGAGAGGGGUGCCGAGCAAGACAGCAAAAUCAGGUAAAAAAUAACCCCAUCCCCAACGUCAGCAGCAGAGCCGAGAGGAACCAGAAGUCCUGAGCUGUUUCGAAGUUGUGUUAAAUAAUAAAGCAG
ensembl:lncRNA